rnacentral:rRNA from 1 species
AUUGAACGCUGGCGGCAGGCCUAACACAUGCAAGUCGAACGAGUGGCGGACGGGUGAGUAAUGUCUGGGAAACUGCCUGAUGGAGGGGGAUAACUACUGGAAACGGUAGCUAAUACCGCAUACCAUCGGAUGUGCCCAGAUGGGAUUAGCUAGUAGGUGGGGUAAAGGCUCACCUAGGCGACGAUCCCUCGCUGGUCUGAGAGGAUGACCAGACACACUUGAACUGAGACACGGUCACGACUCCGACGUGAGACAGCAUAGGGGAAUAUUGCACAAGGGGCGCAAGCCUGAUGCAGCCAUGCCGCGGGUAUGAAGAGGGCCUUCGGGUUUUAAAGUACUUUCAGCGGGGAGGCGUUACCCGCAGAAGAAGCACCGGCUAACUCCGUGCCAGCAGCCGCGGUAAUAC